UUCAAAGAGGUAUUCCUGCC
rnacentral:piRNA from 1 species